UACGUAGGGGGCUAGCGUUGUCCGGAAUCAUUGGGCGUAAAGCGCGUGUAGGCGGUUCGGUAAGUCCGCUGUGAAAGUCCGGGGCUCAACCCUGGAAAGCCGGUGGAUACUGUCGGACUAGAGUGCGGAAGAGGCGAGUGGAAUUCCCGGUGUAGAGGUGAAAUUCGUAGAUAUCGGGAGGAACACCGGUGGCGAAGGCGGCGCCCUGGGUCGAGACUGACGCUGAGGCGCGAAAGCGUGGGGAGCAAACAGG
rnacentral:rRNA from 1 species